rnacentral:lncRNA from 1 species
AUGACCUGAUUAUGAUUCCUCGGGCACUCUCUCGCGUAGUGAUGGGCAUUCCCACAUAUAUGUUAAGUAUUGCUGAGGUAAUAGUAGGGUCGGUCCUUAUGAUCUUUGUCACAGUGUUGGCAAGUCCUACCGCGUCAUGUUACCAGAAUCUGAGGAGGAGCCUGAGUCACUAACCUAGGUCUCUUGUUCUACUGAAUAGGUGCAGUGGAUGCUGGUCUUUGGUGUGAAACUGGAGGCCUGAGGUUCCCCACUGUUGGAUAAAAAAUGUGAAGGUUCCUCU